UAUCCAGUAGUGGGUAUUCAGUUACUUACUAUUGUGUGUUGGUCGUUUACUGUGAGAAAAUUAGAGUGUUCAAAGCAGGCGUUUGCUUGAAUAGAUUAGCAUGGAAUAAUAAUUGAAGGCUUUCGUGUUCGAUUUGAUUGGUUUGUUCAUGGAAGCAAGGUUAAAAGGAACAGUUGGGGGUAUUCAUAUUCACUAGUUAGAGGUGAAAUUCUCGGAUUUAUGGAAGAUGAACAAGUGCGAAAGCAUUUACCAAGGAUGUUUUCAUUAAUCAAGAACGAAAGCUAGGGGAUCGAAGAGGAUUAGAUACCCUCGUAGUCUUAGCUAUAAACGAUACCGACUAGG
rnacentral:rRNA from 1 species